CUGCGCAACAAGCAGCUUGUGAUAACUGUGAUGAUUUAUUGACGUCACAAUGCGCCGAAAAUUUUCAGCCGUGCAAUGGUGUGUGCAUGCUUCAGAAUCAAAGAAACAGAAUUCAAACAAAAUGUACCACGAGCUCGGAAUGUAAAUAUAAACAGACCUUAGGACUGUUGUUUCCUGGUACGAACACAAUUUGCUGCACUACGGACGAUUGUUUUCAAAAGGAAUUGUUCACCAUGAUACAAGGACAUAUUGCAUCAACGAAGAGACCUUCAACGAAAGUUCUGGUUACCAUCAAGAAGUGAUAGCAUUGUCUCCCAC